UGUUCUGUGUAUGGCACUGGUAGAAUUCACUGUGAACAGUCUCAGUCAGUGAAUUACCGAAGGGCCAUAAACAGAGCAGA